rnacentral:rRNA from 1 species
GACGAACUUUGGCGGCGUGCCUAACACAUGCAAGUCGAGCGAAAAUAUACUGGUGCUUGGCCCGGAAAAACUUACCGGGGAACGGGUGAGAAACACAUAAAGACCCUGUCUCAUAGAGUGGGACAACUAUUGCAGACGAUACCGCAUACAGGAUAACCGCACCACCGGCCUGGUGGAUGGUGAAAAAAAGGGUAUGCUCACCCUAUGAGAUGGCUUCGGAGUGCAUGAGCGAGUCUGGAGGGGCAAAGGCCUGGCAAGGCGACCAUGCAUACCCGAACCGAGAGGGUGAUCGGCCACACUGGCACUGACACACGACCCGAAAUCCUACGGGAAGCACCAGUGGGGAAUCUUCCGCAGAGGGCUAAAGCCUGACCGAGCGACGCAGCGAGAGAGACCAAGGAUUUCAGGACGGCCAGCGCUGUGGAUAGGGAAGAAAGACUGUGAAAAAACUACACGCAGUAAAAACCGAACCAAACCAGACAAGCCCGGGGCUAACUACCUGCCAUCAGCCGCGGUAAUACGCAGGUGGAAAGCGUAGCCCGGAAGCAUUGGGCGGAAAGCGCGCGCAGGUGGCUUACUAAGGCUGAUGCGAAAGCCCACCGUACAACCGUGGAGGGUCAUCGAAAACUGUUAUACUUGCGGGCAGGAGAGAGAAGCGGAAAUCAUAGUGUAACUCCGAAAGGCGCAGAGAUUAGGAGGAACACCAGUGACAAAGGCGGCUGUUAGGGCCGAUACUGGACACGAAGCGCAAAACCGUGGGGAAAAACCAGGAUUAGAUACCUGGGUAGUCCCCGCCGUAAACGAUGAGUGCUAAGUGUUGGUGUCAUAAGAGACCAUUGGUGCAGGUGACGCAUCAAUCAGUCCGCCUGGGGAGUAGGACCGCGCGGGUGUUACUCAUCAGGAGGUGUCGGGGGGCCGCACAACCGGCGGAGCAGUGUGGUGGAAUUAGUAGCAACGCGAAGAACCUCCCCAAGUGGUGUCGUCCUGGGAGGCCACAAGCGGAAGUGUGGUUCUGUCCUUUGGGUGGACACAGAUCCGGGGGGGGCAGGGUGGUGUUCAGUUGGGGUGGGGGGAGGUGGGGUUAUGUCCGGCAAGGGGGGCACCCCUUACAUUUGGUGCCCGCCAGUAAGGGGGGGGCUCUAGAUGGGCUGCCAGCGGUCAAUUGGGGGGAGGGGGGGAUGGCGUCAAAUCCUCCUGCCCCUUAUGGCUUGGGGUUCCCCCGUGCUACAAUGGGUUGGCACAAAGGGGAGGGAGCUGGGGGGAGUAGGCAAACCUCCCAAAACUCUUCUCCGUUCGGAAUGGCGUGUGCAACUUGGCUUCCGGGAGCCGGGAUCGGUUGGAUUCCAAAGCCGGCUGUCGCGGGGA